GUACAUUUCUUGUACUGUUUGCUACCUCCUGGAACGAUACAGAGAAGAUUAGCAUGGCCCGUGUGCAAGGAUGACACACAAAUUCAGGUUGAGGUUUUGUCCUGUUUU